rnacentral:rRNA from 1 species
CCUACGGGCUGCACCAGUGGGGAAUGUUGGACAACGGGCGAAAGCCUGAUCCAGCAAUGCCGCGUGUGUGAAGAAGGUCUUCGGAUUGUAAAGCACUUUCGACGGGGACGAUGACGGUACCCGUAGGAGAAGCCCCGGCUAACUUCGUGCCAGCAGCCGCGGUAAUACGAAGGGGGCUAGCGUUGCUCGGAAUGACUGGGCGUAAAGGGCGCGUAGGCGGUUUAUGCAGUCAGAUGUGAAAUCCCCGGGCUUAACCUGGGAACUGCAUUUGAGACGCAUAGACUAGAGGUCGAGAGAGGGUUGUGGAAUUCCCAGUGUAGAGGUGAAAUUCGUAGAUAUUGGGAAGAACACCGGUGGCGAAGGCGGCAACCUGGCUCGAUACUGACGCUGAGGCGCGAAAGCGUGGGGAGCAAACAGGAUUAGAUACCCUUGUAGUC